AGUGAACGCUGGCGGUAGGCCUAACACAUGCAAGUCGAACGGCAGCACAGUAAGAGCUUGCUCUUACGGGUGGCGAGUGGCGGACGGGUGAGGAAUACAUCGGAAUCUACUUUUUCGUGGGGGAUAACGUAGGGAAACUUACGCUAAUACCGCAUACGACCUACGGGUGAAAGCAGGGGAUCUUCGGACCUUGCGCGAUUGAAUGAGCCGAUGUCGGACUAGCUAGUUGGCGGGGUAAAGGCCCACCAAGGCGACGAUCCGUAGCUGGUCUGAGAGGAUGAUCAGCCACACUGGAACUGAGACACGGUCCAGACUCCUACGGGAGGCAGCAGUGGGGAAUAUUGGACAAUGGGCGCAAGCCUGAUCCAGCCAUACCGCGUGGGUGAAGAAGGCCUUCGGGUUGUAAAGCCCUUUUGUUGGGAAAGAAAAGCAGCAGGUUAAUACCCCGCUGUUCUGACGGUACCCAAAGAAUAAGCACCGGCUAACUUCGCG
rnacentral:rRNA from 1 species